GUGCUCACUUCAGAACCACAUAUGCUAAACAAACACUGGAACAACAGGAGAAGAUUAGCAUGGCUUCUUCGCAAACAUGACAUGCAAAUUUAUGACAUAUCCCUUGGGGAG
rnacentral:snRNA from 1 species